AGCCCGGUCGUCUAGCGGUCAAGGAUAGGGGCCUCUGGAGCCUCGGACAAGAGUUCGAAUCUCUUCCGGGCUACCA
rnacentral:tRNA from 1 species